rnacentral:rRNA from 1 species
UGGGNGAAAGCCUGAUCCAGCAAUGCCGCGUGAGGGAUGAAGGCCUUCGGGUUGUAAACCUCUUUCAGCAGGGACGAAGCGUGAGUGACGGUACCUGCAGAAGAAGCANCGGCUAACUACGUGCCAGCAGCCGCGGUAAUAA